GUGACGUUGACCAGAAUGAUGGUGUGAUCAAGGAUGGUAGCGGGAGGAAAGGGAAUUCCUUUUUUCCCCUUUCCCUUCCUGUUACCCCAGCCAAUUUCAUAGCAAGUGACAGCAGACAGGAAUUGACCUAUUGGGCCAGUCACUGCACCAAACCCCCAGCAAGGAAAAGGCAGGAGAAUUGUUCUUUUAUGGAGGACCCAUGCUGGCAGACUCAAAGCGGCUUCAAUAUCAGAAAUGUCUAUAGCUCUAAGUUAUGUUUUGUUCCUCUCUAUCAAAAAAAUUGGAUGUUUCUGGUCCAUUAGAAACCAUUACGUCUUUUAAAGAGAGAAACUGUCUACUUCAACAAAAGGGCUUUUGUCAGGAUUCUGGUCUUGAAUGAGGAUUAUGAAGAAGAGGGCUUUCUUCCAGCUGCUGAAUUCAGGACCAAUGCUGAGGAGUUACCUGAGCAGCCUGACACCUUGGAAUCCACUACUGCUAACAGGAGCCAG